AAUACGAAGGUCCCAAGCGUUAUCCGGAUUUAUUGGGUUUAAAGGGUGCGUAGGCGGGCUAUUAAGUCAGUGGUGAAAGCCCCAAGCUUAACUUGGGAACUGCCAUUGAUACUGAUGGUCUCGAGUACAUUUGAGGUGGGCGGAAUGUGUCAUGUAGCGGUGAAAUGCUUAGAUAUGACACAGAACACCGAUUGCGAAGGCAGCUCACUAAACUGUAACUGACGCUGAGGCACGAAAGCGUGGGGAGCAAACA
rnacentral:rRNA from 1 species